rnacentral:rRNA from 1 species
GACGAACGCUGGCGGCGUGCUUAACACAUGCAAGUCGAACGGAAAGGCCCUGCUUUUGUGGGGUGCUCGAUUGGCGAACGGGUGAGUAACACGUGAGUAACCUGCCCUUGACUGUGGGAUAACUUUAGGAAACUGGGGCUAAUACCGGAUAGGAGCUCCUGCUGCAUGGUGUGGGUUGGAAAGUUUCGGCUGUUGGGGAUGGACUCGCGGCUUAUCAGCUUGUUGGUGGGGUAGUGGCUUACCAAGGCUUUGACGGGUAGCCGGCCUGAGAGGGUGACCGGGCACAUUGGGACUGAGAUACGGCCCAGACUCGUACGGGAGGCAGCAGUGGGGAAUAUUGCACAAUGGGCGGAAGCCUGAUGCAGCAACGCCGCGUGCGGGAUGACGGCCUUCGGGUUGUAAACCGCUUUCGCCUGUGACGAAGCGUGAGUGACGGUAAUGGGUAAAGAAGCACCGGCUAACUACGUG